UGCCAGCCGCCGCGGUAAUACGAAGGGCCCGAGCGUUAUUCGGAAUCACUGGGCUUAAAGCGUGCGCAGGCUGGCGUGCAGGCAUCUUGUGAAAUCCCUCGGCUCAACCGAGGAACUGCAGGGUGAACCGCACGUCUUGAGACGGACAGAGGCUGUCGGAACGCUAGGUGGAGCGGUGAAAUGCAUUGAUAUCUAGCGGAACGCCAAAGGUGAAGACAGGCAGCUGGGUCCGUUCUGACGCUUAUGCACGAAAGCGUGGGUAGCGAACGGGAUUAGAUA
rnacentral:rRNA from 1 species